AUUUAUAUAGUUUAAAUAAAACAUUACAUUUUCACUGUAAAGACAAUAUUUUACAUAUUUAUAAAUA
rnacentral:tRNA from 2 species